rnacentral:misc_RNA from 1 species
UCCGGUUUGUCACCGGCAGUCUCAUUAGAGUCCUCAGCUUAACCUGGUAGCAACUAACGAUAGGGGUUGCGCUCGUUACGGGACUUAACCCAACACCUCACGGCACGAGCUGACGACAGCCAUGCAGCACCUAGUUUCGUGCCCUUGCGGGAAGACCGAUUUCUCGGCCGAUCACUAACUUUCAAGCCCGGGUAAGGUUCCUCGCGUAUCAUCGAAUUAAACCACAUGCUCCUCCGCUUGUGCGGGCCCCCGUCAAUUCCUUUGAGUUUCAAUCUUGCGACCGUACUUCCCAGGUGGAUAACUUAACGAUUUCUCUUAGACGCGUACUGUAUAUCGCACACAUCGAGUUAUCAACGUUUAGGGCGUGGACUAC